rnacentral:rRNA from 1 species
UGGGGAAUAUUGCACAAUGGGGGAAACCCUGAUGCAGCGACGCCGCGUGAAGGAAGAAGUAUUUCGGUAUGUAAACUUCUAUCAGCAGGGAAGAAAGUGACAGUACCUGACUAAGAAGCCCCGGCUAACUACGUGCCAGCAGCCGCGGUAAUACGUAGGGGGCAAGCGUUAUCCGGAUUUACUGGGUGUAAAGGGAGCGUAGGUGGCGAUGCAAGCCAGAAGUGAAAACCCGGGGCUCAACCCCGAGGACUGCUUUUGGAACUGUGUUGCUGGAGUGCAGGAGAGGUAAGUGGAAUUCCUAGUGUAGCGGUGAAAUGCGUAGAUAUUAGGAGGAACACCGGUGGCGAAGGCGGCUUACUGGACUGUAACUGACACUGAGGCUCGAAAGCGUGGGGAGCAAACAGGAUUAGAUACCC